rnacentral:rRNA from 1 species
UACGGGAGGCAGCAGUGGGGAAUAUUGCACAAUGGGCGCAAGCCUGAUGCAGCCAUGCCGCGUGUAUGAAGAAGGCCUUCGGGUUGUAAAGUACUUUCAGUCGUGAGGAAGGUGUUAAGGUUAAUAACCUUAGCAAUUGACGUUAGCGACAGAAGAAGCACCGGCUAACUCCGUGCCAGCAGCCGCGGUAAUACGGAGGGUGCGAGCGUUAAUCGGAAUUACUGGGCGUAAAGGGCACGCAGGCGGUUAAUUAAGUUGGAUGUGAAAUCCCCGGGCUUAACCUGGGAAUGGCAUUCAAGACUGGUUAGCUAGAGUCUUGUAGAGGGGGUAGAAUUCCAUGUGUAGCGGUGAAAUGCGUAGAGAUGUGGAGGAAUACCGGUGGCGAAGGCGGCCCCUGGACAAAGGCUGACGCUCAUGUGCGAAAGCGUGGGGAGCGAAACAGGGAUUAGAU